rnacentral:rRNA from 1 species
AACGUAGGAGCCAAGCGUUAUCCGAAUUCACUGGGCGUAAAGCGCCAGCAGGCGGACCUGUAAGUGGAUUGUGAAAUCUCCCGGCUCAACUGGGAGAGGCCGGUCCAGACUGCGGGUCUGGAGGACGGUAGAGGGAGGUGGAAUUCCCGGUGUAGUGGUGAAAUGCGUAGAUAUCGGGAGGAACACCAGUGGCGAAAGCGGCCUCCUGGACCGUUUCUGACGCUGAGCGGCGAAAGCUAGGGGAGCGAACGGGAUUAGAAACCCCCGUAGUCC